GAAAUAAUUAGAUAUGGCAAUUUACAAUUCCAAUUUAUUCAGGUUAAUCACUAUAAUUGCUUGUGGAUACUAACUGGUGGAUUUCAUUGGUGCUGUUUGUUGGUAUACCAUCCGGGUAGCUUUGAAUUAGAAUAGUAUUGACUCACUUUAAAACAAGAAGAACAAUAAUGAUUUACUCUUUCCAUUUUAUAUGGCCCUUUCAGGAAGAACCAGUUCAUAGGCUGAGAAACAAAAAAGAGAAGAAAUGGUCCUAUUUGAAAAGAGAGAAGAUGGAGUGGUACCUGCACAUGGCAAGAUACUCACAUUCUGGUCUGAUACAGACUCAGUGCACUUUCCUUAUAGCAUCUAAUGUCCAGCUUCUGAAUAUCAGCUUUUUAGCAUCUGUCGUCACCAUCCUUGCCAAGAACAGCCCAGAAAACUUCCCAAUCUGGAACCAAUGACAUUAAAAGUAGUUUGUCUAUUGUUUAGUUAGUACAAUCCAAGCAGCAACAUUUAUGGUGGGAAAAUACAAGGGUGAAAAAGUUGUCCUGUAUCUAUAAAUAAGGUAUGUGAUUUUAGGAUAGGAUGACAAUUAUGGCUGAAGAAGAAAUUAAACGAUAAUGUUGUGGGCUUCUUUUAAGGCAGAUCAUGAGGAUCACAUGGCAGUGAUUCAAAUGACAGAAAACUGGUAGAAAUUUUUCACUAUAAAUAAAAGAAUUGUUAUAAAAGAAAAUGUGACAGAUCUUAGUAAUAGAUUGGACAGUUUGAUGGAACAAUAAAAACUUCUGUUCCAGACAGGAUACAAAUGAAGAUUUACAACACUGUGCUUUAUCUUGUUCUCUAUGCACAAACUAUGUGAGCACAGGCCUGCACCAUCUGGUAUGGACUAUGUAACCCAUAUGUUUGUUAUACUAUUUUACUUGGAAGAGUAAAUUUACAUGAGUAGA